rnacentral:rRNA from 1 species
AUGGAAGAAGAAAUUGAUGAAACUGUGAGCUCAUUGGAUGAAAAAGUUGAGGAGGAGAGCGAAGAACAAAAGGAGGAAGAGCGGAUGAGCUACCCGUGCCCACCUUCUAAUGAGAGUAACUCUUCAACUCAUACAUUGUUUAAUUUCCCUUCAUGCUUACCGAAGGAUGAUUGCUAUGAUGAUUGGUAUGAUCCCGUUGAUUCUCUUGAAAUAUCCCUUUUUGAUGAUGCUUGCUAUGCUUGUGGCCAAGAUGUCAAUAUGAAUUAUGCUUAUGGAUAUGAACUUGCUAUAGUUCCUUAUGUUAAACAUGAAAUUGUUGCUAUUGCACCCACGCAUGAUAGUACUAUUAUCUUUUUGAAUUCUCCCUACCACACUAUAUCGGAGAAGUUUAUGCUUCUUAAGGAUUAUAUUCAUGGGUUGCCUUUUACCAUUGCACGUGAUAAUUUUGAUAGAUACAAUAUGCAUGUGCUUGCUGCUCCUACUUGCAAUUAUUAUGAGAGAGGAACUAUAUCUCUACCUCUCUAUGUUUCCAACACGAUGAAAUUGCAAUAA